rnacentral:misc_RNA from 1 species
GGAGGGUUGAUGUACACAGCCUUAUCCUUGCUUUGCAGAAAGGCUGUUUCCGUGAAAAGGUUUCCUCAGCUUAGAGUUGGAAAAUGUGUCAGAUUAUAUUUCUAAGCUGCUGCAGUGCCUAUCUCCGUUCUUCGUAAAUGUUUGUCCCUUGUAUAAUUCUCAAUUCCUUCUACCUGGUGCAGGUUAAUUAUCUGGCAGACUAUAG